rnacentral:rRNA from 1 species
UUUUGGUUAAUAAUUUAAAGUCUAAUCUGCCCCCUGAUAAUAUAUUAAAGGGCUGCAGUAUUUUGACUGUACAAAGGUAGCAUAAUCAUUAGUCUCUUAAUUGGUGACUUGUAUGAAAGAUUUGAUGAGAUAUAUACUGUCUCUUUUUAAUUUAUAAAAUUUAAUUUUUUAGUUAAAAAGCUAAAAUAUAUUUAAAAGACGAGAAGACCCUAUAGAGUUUUAUAUUUAUAUAAAUUAAAAUUUUUUAUAAGCUUUAAAAUUUUAAUUUAUAUAAAUAUUUUGUUGGGGUGAUAAAAAAAUUAAAAUAACUUUUUUUAUAAUUUUACAUUAAUAAAUGAAUAAAUGAUCCGUAAUUUACGAUUAUAAGAUAAAAUUACCUUAGGGAUAACAGCGUAAUUUUUUUUUUUAGUUCAAAUAAGAAAAAAAGUUUGCGACCUCGAUGUUGGAUUAAGAUAAAAUUUAAAUGCAAAAGUUUAAAAUUUUUGAUCUG